GACGAACGCUGGCGGCGUGCUUAACACAUGCAAGUCGAGCGAUGAAGUUCCUUCGGGAAUGGAUUAGCGGCGGACGGGUGAGUAACACGUGGGUAACCUGCCUCAUAGAGGGGAAUAGCCUUUCGAAAGGAAGAUUAAUACCGCAUAAGAUUGUAGUAUCGCAUGAUGCAGCAAUUAAAGGAGUAAUCCGCUAUGAGAUGGACCCGCGUCGCAUUAGCUAGUUGGUGAGGUAACGGCUCACCAAGGCGACGAUGCGUAGCCGACCUGAGAGGGUGAUCGGCCACAUUGGGACUGAGACACGGCCCAGACUCCUACGGGAGGCAGCAGUGGGGAAUAUUGCACAAUGGGGGAAACCCUGAUGCAGCUACGCCGCGUGAGUGAUGACGGUCUCCGGAUUGUAAAACUCUGUCUUCAGGGACGAUAAUGACGGUACCUGAGGAGGAAGCCACGGCUAACUACGUGCCAGCAGCCGCCGUAAAAC
rnacentral:rRNA from 1 species